CCUACGGGAGGCAGCAGUGGGGAAUAUUGCACAAUGGAGGGAACUCUGAUGCAGCGACGCCGCGUGAGUGAAGAAGUAAUUCGGUAUGUAAAGCUCUAUCAGCAGGGAAGAAAGUGAUGGUACUAGAAAAAGAAGCUACGGCCAAAUACGUGCCAGCAGCCGCGGUAAUACGUAUGGAGCAAGCGUUAACCGGAUCUAAUGGGUGUAAAGGGAGAGUAGGUGGCCGAGCAAGUCCGAAGUGAAAACCCCAAGCUCAACUAGGGGAAUGCUUUAGAAACUGCCAAGCUAGAGUGCAGGAGAGGGGAGUAGAAUUCUUAGUGUAGCGGUGAAAUGCGUAGAGAUUAGGAGGAACACCAGUGGCGAAGGCGGCUUGCUGGACUAUGACUGACGCUGAGGCGCGAAAGCGUGGGGAGCAAACAGGAUUAGAUACCCUUGUAGUC
rnacentral:rRNA from 1 species